rnacentral:rRNA from 1 species
GAUGAACGCUGGCGGCGUGCCUAAUACAUGCAGGUCGAGCGAAUGGAUUAAGAGCUUGCUCUUAUGAAGUUAGCGGCGGACGGGUGAGUAACACGUGGGUAACCUACCCAUAAGACUGGGAUAACUCCGGGAAACCGGGGCUAAUACCGGAUAACAUUUUGAACCGCAUGGUUCGAAAUUGAAAGGCGGCUUCGGCUGUCAAUUAUGGAUGGACCCGCGUCGUAUUAGCCAGUUGGUGAGGUAACGGCUCACCAAGGCAACGAUGCGUAGCCGACCUGAGAGGGUGAGCGGCCACACUGGGACUGAGACACGGCCCAGACUCCUACGGGAGGCAGCAGUAGGGAAUCUUCCGCAAUGGACGAAAGUCUGACGGAGCAACGCCGCGUGAGUGAUGAAGGCUUUCGGGUCGUAAAACUCUGUUGUUAGGGAAGAACAAGUGCUAGUUGAAUAAGCUGACACCUUGACGGUACCUAACCAGAAAGCCACGGCUAACUACGUGCCAGCCGCCGCUGUAA